GAGCCUCCCGCCCGCUUUCCCGGGGACUGCGGAGCUGCGAGGGGAACACCCAGCGCCGCAUCCAUCGGCGGCUCGCGGGCCGCCGUCCCGCCCUGCCAGGGUCCUGCUCUGGCCCUUGGAAGGGCCAGAGCUCGCUGGCUGUGGAGCUGCUGCAGCACGCCCGAGGUCUGAGCCCGUGGAUUCGGCGUGGAGAGCCCUCAUCUCCAGCAUCCAGGUGGAGCAGACCUGGGAAAAGGGAUUUUGGUGUGUGACAGCGAGAUUCACCAGUGCCUCUUCCACAGCUGCAUAUCAGCCUGGAUGUAGUCACCCUGUCAGGAGUGUAAAAUUUACAGCAGAAAUUAUUUUAAUGCUGGAAAAGCUCUUACUCAUCUGAAGCAAAAUGCAUAGUGAAAGUCACCAAGCAGAAGUUUUCUAUCCCACCAUCUGCAGGACUCCUGCAGGCCUUCUGAUGCUUAAGGAAGUGGUCUAUUCCAAGAAGUCUAAUGUAUGAAGUCUUGUUAAGAUUAAAGUCUCUGGAGGCUGAAGUUCAUUUUUUGAGGAAGAAACCCAGUUAACAAUAAAAUCAGCAUACCUGUCUCAGGCUGCCCCUAAAAAGAAAAAGCAGUAAUCUGGAAAAAAGAACUCAGAACACACAAAGAGGAGCCACUGGAGACUAAUCUGCAAGGUAUUCAGGUGUUGCUGUUGAGCAGAAGUUGGAAGGAAACUGUGAGGGUCAAUAGAUUGAGAAAAUGGCACUGCCCAUCAUCGUAGGAAGCCAUGAACCUCUCCACUGUGGGACAGGAGUGACCAGCAGUGACCAGCUUCUCUGCCUUAGGAGCAUCCCCAUUAGCUGUACUUUUCAAAUAAGUUUCACUGAUGACAUGCAAAUCAGAAUCUGUUGACCAUUGGCUGUUCCAGAUAUGAUGUCAAAGCCAGCAAGGGAGACUUGAUGACUCAAAAGCAGAAGUAUUUUGAAACAGAAAGAAUGACUUACUGGGGCACCAAGUUAAAAAGAAGUGAAGGUUGGUCAUCUCUGCAGAGGUAAUUACAAGAAAAAAGUGUUGAUGCAUUCCUGACAGGUUUCUUCCUCUGAAGAAACAGCUGCAGAAUGUGGAAUCAGUUGUGUGAAAUUCCCUUUGGCAAGACCUUUGACCCUUGACUUCUGCUAGAUCCAGCUGAGUGAUCAAAGAGAGGACUUUUGCAGGUUUCACCUCCCCUGGACUCUGGACUUGCCCUGAUUUCUGGGCAUUAGGAUCUGGGGGUCCUCAUCUCUGCCAUGGAGAGCUCAGGGAGACAGUGGGGGCAAGCACAGCAGCUCAGCUGGGAAGCCAGGAGAUGGAAAGGUUAUGCCAGGAAAACAGGAGAUUGAUCUAUCCCCACAGCAGUGAUGCUGAAAGCCUGGGCAGAUGGCUUCUGUCCCCCUGCAGUGUGACCAAGUAACCUCAGGGUGGGACUUGCUGACUGAAACAACUCUGCUUGAUCUGUGUGGGGCUGAUGGAUGCAGCAUUUAUUGUGCUCUUUAAUUAACUAGCAAAAGGUUAGUUCACUGAUUAAGGUAGGGUGUUUGUUUUAAAAGUUUGCUUCUUUAUUAAAGCAGUAUUUAUAUUAGAAUACAGACUGAUAUCUCAGUUAUUCCCACUUCUUUAUAUCUGCCCUGUAUAGGAAGUGUUGUUGUCUAUCAAACCAGGUGGCAGGGAAUAACACCCCCUCUAACUCGAGCAUAAGUUUGAAGCUCCAGAAGCUGAUGCUGUAGUGGCAGUUCUGCUAAUCCCCCUAACCAAGGCCUGUGUGGAACAGUGGGGUGUUUUUAAUCUGGUCAUCAGUUCAGAGCUGGGUUACUGCUCAGUUAGGAGUAUUGCUGAGUAGGCCACAAUUCCUCACAGUCUUGACAAAUUCAUUGCUCAGUCUUUGGGGUUUACCUAUGCAGAACUAGGGAAAUUCACUUAGAGAACCUCAGCUCAUCCCCAUUAGGAUAAUGGAGAAGUAUCUGGAAGCAAGUUAAACAAUCCCUCUAAGUCAGCAUCCAUUCUAAGUCACAGUGAUGCCUUUCCCAAAGUGACAAACUGGUUUGAUAAGGUACACUCAUGUAGGAGCUGGGAGUACACAAGUGCAGUUGUUAAAAAUGAAUGCUGUAUCCUGUUUCCUUUGUGUAUCUUGUCACUGACAUGACUUCACAAGUUGCAAAUCUAUUAAACAUUUCAAACAUGGAACUAGA